rnacentral:rRNA from 1 species
CUUGUACCGACUGGAUGAGCAGCGAACGGGUGAGUAACGCGUGGGGAAUCUGCCUUUGAGCGGGGGACAACAUUUGGAAACGAAUGCUAAUACCGCAUAAAAACUUUAAACACAAGUUUUAAGUUUGAAAGAUGCAAUUGCAUCACUCAAAGAUGAUCCCGCGUUGUAUUAGCUAGUUGGUGAGGUAAAGGCUCACCAAGGCGAUGAUACAUAGCCGACCUGAGAGGGUGAUCGGCCACAUUGGGACUGAGACACGGCCCAAACUCCUACGGGAGGCAGCAGUAGGGAAUCUUCGGCAAUGGACGAAAGUCUGACCGAGCAACGCCGCGUGAGUGAAGAAGGUUUUCGGAUCGUAAAACUCUGUUGGUAGAGAAGAACGUUGGUGAGAGUGGAAAGCUCAUCAAGUGACGGUAACUACCCAGAAAGGGACGGCUAACUACGUGCCAGCAGCCGCGGUAAUACGUAGGUCCCGAGCGUUGUCCGGAUUUAUUGGGCGUAAAGCGAGCGCAGGUGGUUUAUUAAGUCUGGUGUAAAAGGCAGUGGCUCAACCAUUGUAUGCAUUGGAAACUGGUAGACUUGAGUGCAGGAGAGGAGAGUGGAAUUCCAUGGGUAGCGG